rnacentral:hammerhead_ribozyme from 1 species
AUCCAGCUGACGAGUCCCAAAUAGAGCUAAACGCACUUCCUGGAU